rnacentral:rRNA from 1 species
UACGGAGGGAGCUAGCGUUGUUCGGAAUUACUGGGCGUAAAGCGCGCGUAGGCGGCUUUGUAAGUUAGAGGUGAAAGCCCGGGGCUCAACCCCGGAACUGCCUUUAAGACUGCAUCGCUGGAAUCCGGGAGAGGUGAGUGGAAUUCCGAGUGUAGAGGUGAAAUUCGUAGAUAUUCGGAAGAACACCAGUGGCGAAGGCGGCUCACUGGACCGGCAUUGACGCUGAGGUGCGAAAGCGUGGGGAGCAAACAGG